UAAAUGCUACGUCCGCGUAUUUAU
rnacentral:piRNA from 1 species